rnacentral:lncRNA from 1 species
UGGUGCAAACACAUUAUAAUCAAUAUACUCACUGAGGUAAUUUAUGCACAUUAGCAUUGAGUACAGAUUUUGUGCUGCAGGCACAUGUCAUUCAGGGACUUGCUUCAUGCAAUUUCAAUCCUUUCAAGGAUUUUGUUUAAAAGGAUUAAACUUUAUGACACAUUAAAUAGCUUUAACCCUACUAUUUAUACAUCUCUAGGGAAUCACUUCUGGUGAUAUACUCCGUG